CACGUAGUUAGCCGGUGCUUAUUCUUCAGGUACCGUCAUUAGCCGAAGGUAUUAUCCUCAACCGUUUCUUCCCUGACAAAAGAGCUUUACAACCCGAAGGCCUUCUUCACUCACGCGGCAUUGCUGGAUCAGGCUUGCGCCCAUUGUCCAAAAUUCCCCACUGCUGCCUCCCGUAGGAGUCUGGGCCGUGUCUCAGUCCCAGUGUGGCUGGUCGUCCUCUCAGACCAGCUACUGAUCGUCGCCUUGGUGAGCCUUUACCUCACCAACUAGCUAAUCAGAUAUCGGCCGCUCCAGGAGCAUGAGGUCUUGCGAUCCCCCAUUUCAUCCUUAGAUCGUAUGCGGUAUUAGCGUAACUUUCGCUACGUUAUCCCCCAUCUUGGGUACGUUCCGAUAUAUUACUCACCCGUUCGCCACUCGCCGCCAGGUUGCCCCGCGCUGCCGUUCGACUUGCAUGUGUAAAGCAUGCCGCCAGCGUUCAAUCUGAGCCAGGAUA
rnacentral:rRNA from 1 species